GGGCCCGUAGCGUAGUCUGGUUUAACGCGCCUGCCUGUCACGCAGGAGACCGAGGGUUCAAAUCCCUUCGGGCCCG
rnacentral:tRNA from 4 species